rnacentral:tmRNA from 1 species
GGGGACGAAAUUGGUUUCGACGGGUUACAUGGUGGUAGUGGCUGCAUGUCGAGGAACCCGGUGACCUCGUUAAUCAUCUGGGAAAACAAGUAAACGCAGACAAUUAUGCGUAUGCUCUGGCUGCCUAACUAAGGCGGCCUCGUUCUUUCCGUUUGCGCCCGCUGGGGUGGAAAAGAACGUCGAUACAGCGGGCUAGUCGGUUGUGAUGCUCUGGCGCAACCGGCGAAUCUUACAGAGCUGGGUCGCCUUGGCCUGGUCCCUGCGACAGAGGCGAUCGAGAUUCAAGCAGAAGACUAAACAUGUAGACGCUGCUAUGGCUGGUUUCUCGGACGUGGGUUCAACUCCCACCGUCUCCAC